rnacentral:rRNA from 1 species
UUGAAAGGGAAACGAUUGAAGUCAGUCGUACCAGCGGGAAAUCAACCUUUCGAGUGGGGGUUUUGGAGUUUUGAAGAGUGUCAAAACCUUUGAGAUUUCAAAAUUUUCGCUCUUUUGGUGUACUUUCUCGUUGGUAGGUUAACAUCGAUUUUGAUCAUCAUAAAAAGAUUGGAGGAAUGUAGCUUCGAUCUUGUAUUGAAGUGUUAUAGCCUUUGGUAAAUGUGAUGAUUAGGAUCGAGGAUUGCAACGAAUACCCUUUUGGGCUAUCCGCCUGAUCUCUGAUACGUGGCCUUGGUAUCGAAAGCUUGCUUAUGGUAUUAAGGUAUUACGGUCAAAAGGUUAGAACGGAUUACAUUCGUUAAGGAUGUUGACGUA